UACGUAGGGGGCAAGCGUUGUCCGGAUUUAUUGGGCGUAAAGAGCGUGUAGGCGGCCAAGCAGGUCAGCUGUGAAAACUCGAGGCUCAACCUCGAGACGUCGGUUGAAACCGCUUGGCUAGAGUCCGGAAGAGGAGAGUGGAAUUCCCGGUGUAGCGGUGAAAUGCGCAGAUAUCGGGAAGAACACCCGUGGCGAAGGCGGCUCUCUGGGACGGUACUGACGCUGAGACGCGAAAGCGUGGGGAGCCGAACAGG
rnacentral:rRNA from 1 species